GAAACUGGAAAGGCCUUCGGGCCACCAGUA
rnacentral:sRNA from 1 species